rnacentral:lncRNA from 1 species
GCCCACCGAUGUAGUUAGGUCCCGGGGGGAGUCCAGAAUGGGGUCCCUUUUAAGCCCCGUGCCCUUCAGCAGGCCCUUCUGCUUCCUUUUGUGGCAGGUACGAAGAUCCUGACCUGGACGUGCAGUUGAGUACCGAGCUGGCAGAGUCUCUGCGGACGCUGAAGCCAGAGGGCAGCAUCCUGAGGGACCGGUUCAAGAGCCUGCAGAAGCGCAACCUCAUAGAGCCCCGGGAGCGUGCAAAGUUCAAGAGGAAAUACCGCCUGAAGUAUGUCGAAAAGCGUGCCUUCCGGGAGAUCACGUUGUAGAGCACGGAUUGCACCCGCGCAUCCCCGGAGCUCAUCCUGUCCCCUCGGGUUUCAUUAAAACUCUUGACAACCACACC